rnacentral:rRNA from 1 species
GCAUCCAACGCGUUGGGAGCUCUCCCAUAUGGUCGACCUGCAGGCGGCCGCGAAUUCACUAGUGAUUAGAGUUUGAUCAUGGCUCAGGGUGAACGUUAAUCGAGUGCCCGCGGCCGGCAAGUCGAGCGGAAGAUGCGACAUCUUACCCAAUUCGCCCUAUGGUGAGUAAUAUUAUUAUUGCCAAUUAGUGGGGGAUAGCCAUGAGAAAUCGUGGGUAAUACCGCAUUUGUUGCGUAUUCGUUUACGUAAUGAAAGGAGGUCUUUAGACCUUCGCUAGUUGAUGAGAAUAAGUCGUAUUAGCUAUUGGGUGUGGGUAAAUCCCACCUAGGCAAUGAUGCGUAGCUGGUUUGAGAGAAUGAACGGCCACAGGGGAACUGAGACACGGUCCCCACUCCUACGGGAGGCAGCAGUGAGGAAUAUUCGGCAACGUGGGCAACUCUGUUGACGCG